UUUCCGCAUCCGUAAAUGUAAUCAUGUCCAUUUCCUGCACCGUUUUUUUUUGUAAGUAUUAUAAAAAGAUCUCAACAUUUGUUUUUAAAAUCACAGUAUAACAUUUAUAUAACGAUUUUAAACCUAUAAGCACCCCACAACACUGUAAAUAUCUGUGAGAAUAUUUGUUUCAGCAUGAGUGGAGUGGGAGUGCUCCGAUAAAAAUAUAUAACAGCGGGAAUACCUGUACAGAACAAAACAUUAGUUUCUUUCCCCCUGACUUAUAUUCCCUAUCAAAAAAUGUUCGUU
rnacentral:lncRNA from 1 species